AUAACAUGCAAAACAUGUUGGGCCUCCCUCAAAACAGGUGGAGCUCCGCCCCACCUGCCUUGAUUGACAGGUCACAGCUGGAUGUGACCAGGUACCAGGAUGUCAGGUCUGUCCCGAUCGUCCUCUCAUCUUCACUGGAGGAUGACUCCUUGUCCUCAUCUGAACUGAGGUGUUGAAAUAAAGGGACCCUCAGUCAGAAACUUUACAGGUCAGAAGCGACACUCUCGGUCAGAAGCGUUAUUCUUAGUAUAGAGCUCUUCAUAAACCGGGUAGUUUGCAUACUGGAUGCUGAUUGGCUAAAAACAGCAUUUAGCCGUGUGAAUGUGAGACUGUAUACGGUCACCAUGAUAUCAUUGCGCCUUUUCACCUCGAUAAAAUGGCUACAGCAACAAUAGUUCCACAUGACGAUGUAGAAAAUAAACGUUAAAAUGAAUUUGAGAGAAAUCGAAACGAAUUGGGAAACAAACAAAGUGGGCACUUACCCGCUUCACUGACUGGUGCGCCGAACAAGGGAUACAUUGAGUUUGUGAAUACAACCAAAAUGGAGCUGAAAGUCAUUUUAUGGGACUUUUAUGGUUAAAUGAGAAACAUGAAUGGCGAAAAAAAUGGGAUUAGCAGCUAAACUGCCGCUGGAUUUGAACCGACAUAUCAAUGACCCCUCUCAGUCUGGCAUGGAAUAUACAGGACACCGAAAUCACAACGCGCAACAAUGUGUCGUCUCUCAGCGUACACAUGUCAAGAACCGAUAGGAGUGAACACCCUCGUAACAAUGCUGCCAAAACCAUGAAAAAUAGCUGGCUCGUCAUAGAUGUACACAAACAACUACCACGUCAUCCAUUUAUAAGUAGCGUGGAGCCAACAAACAUGGAACCAUUUUUUUCAUUUGUGCACAAUAAAUGACAACAUUCAGAUCAACGUUAAUAAUUAAUUGUCAUGUGUUAGUCAUUCUAUAAAGGGGCGCUAAUGCUCGGUUUUUGCAUACAUUUAAUGUAAGCUUGCCAUCUAGCCUGUGGUUAUGUUGCAUAGCAACCCGUUUAGCGUUGAGACUUUCGUCCGGACUACUUUUUCUGGCAGUAUGUAUUUAUUGUGAAUGUAUUUAUU
ensembl:lncRNA